AGUGAACGCUGGCGGUAGGCCUAACACAUGCAAGUCGAACGGCAGCACAGUAAGAGCUUGCUCUUACGGGUGGCGAGUGGCGGACGGGUGAGGAAUACAUCGGAAUCUACUUUUUCGUGGGGGAUAACGUAGGGAAACUUACGCUAAUACCGCAUACGACCUACGGGUGAAAGCAGGGGAUCUUCGGACCUUGCGCGAUUGAAUGAGCCGAUGUCGGAUUAGCUAGUUGGCGGGGUAAAGGCCCACCAAGGCGACGAUCCGUAGCUGGUCUGAGAGGAUGAUAGGCCACACUGGAGCUGAGACACGGUCCAGACUCCUACGGGAGGCAGCAGUGGGGAAUAUUGGACAAUGGGCGCAAGCCUGAUCCAGCCAUACCGCGUGGGUGAAGAAGGCCUUCGGGUUGUAAAGCCCUUUUGUUGGGAAAGAAAAGCAGCAGGUUAAUACCCCGCUGUUCUGACGGUACCCAAAGAAUAAGCACCGGCUAACUUCGUG
rnacentral:rRNA from 1 species